rnacentral:rRNA from 1 species
GCAAGUCAAACGAAUGUUUUCUGGAGCUUGCUCCAGAAAAUGUUAGUGGCAAACGGGUGAGUAACACGUGGGCAUCUACCUAUCAGUACGGAAUAACAUUUGGAAACAGAUGCUAAUACCGUAGAUUCGCUGCGGAGGAAAGAUUUAUCGCUGAUAGAUGAGCCCGCGUAAGAUUAGGUAGUUGGUAGGGUAAUGGCAUACCAAGCCGACGAUCUUUAGCUGAUUUGAGAGGAUGAUC